rnacentral:rRNA from 1 species
UAUACGACUCUCGGCAACGGAUAUCUAGGCUCUUGCAUCGAUGAAGAACGUAGCAAAAUGCGAUACUUGGUGUGAAUUGCAGAAUCCCGUGAACCAUCGAGUCUUUGAACACAAGUUGCGCCCGAGGCAUUCUGGCCGAGGGCACGCCUGCCUGGGUGUCACGC